rnacentral:misc_RNA from 1 species
AUGGGACGGCCCGCUGGGCUGUUCCCGCCCCUAUGCCCUUUUUUGGGUUUCCGGCCAGAGGCAUGCUGGGAGCGUCACAUGCAAAUUGAGCGUGCACCCAGCGUUCCGCCCUUUCUACGCUGGGCCGGUUAUCGACCCGGCCCAGUGCGCAGGCGCGGGAAAGUUGAACUAAUAAAGUUUGUACGAGUUCAGUGGAGGAGACCGCAAGUUGAGUGGAGGAGGCGGCGGUGGGGCCCCGGACCAGGUCAGCGGGGUGUUGACGAGGGGUGGGGUGAGGAGGGAAGAGGAGGGGGCCGGGAUCCAGUGGUGGGCACCCCAGUCCCGCUUCUCUGAUAUCCAAGGGUCCAGGGUCCUCUAGAUUCCAGCAGGGGUCGGAGAUUUGGAACUACACCUCACAGCAGGCUGCGCGGCGAAGAAGCGCGGACCUAGGGGAAGAUUUGCCCUGAAACCUCUUGGGAUUGGUAGUUCCCGAUGCUUUAAGGGUUUCAGGAGUUUGGCAUAUGCCUCUUAUAGAAUCCAGGAGUUGGGGCGCUAAGCCUCUUCUUCCUGGGAGACCUAAGGGUCUGGGGCUCCAGUUCCUUUUUCUCUAAGACUCAGAAGUCCAGGACCCCAGCUCCCUCCUCCUUUAGACCCACGAAUCUGGGCACCCAGCCCCACCACCUUUCCUUGGAUCGAAGAGUCUUUUUCCUGAUCGCUUUUUCGUCUGAGGACUCAAGAGUCUAGGCCCCCAGACCCACACUCUCCAAAGGACCCAGGAGUCCAGGCCCUCAGCACCUUCCUUGGGACUCACAAGUCCUGGUCCCCAAGCCUCCACUUCUUGCUAAACCCUUGGAGUCCAGUCCCUAACCCUCUCUCUCACAGGUGCCUCCAUGGCAGGCUCUGAAGAGCUGGGGCUCCGGGAAGACACGCUGAGGGUCCUAGCUGCCUUCCUUAGGCGUGGUGAGGCUGCCGGGUCUCCUGUUCCAACUCCACCUAGCCCUGCCCAAGAAGAGCCAACAGACUUCCUGAGCCGCCUUCGAAGAUGUCUUCCCUGCUCCCUGGGGCGAGGAGCAGCCCCCUCUGAGUCCCCUCGGCCUUGCUCUCUGCCCAUCCGCCCCUGCUAUGGUUUAGAGCCUGGUAAGAGAUUUCCAUGAUCAUCUAUGAAGCCGGCAGAACACGGGAUAAGGCCCAGCUACUCCAGACUUCUAUGCUUUGGUGGCCCAGCGGCUGGAACAGCUGGUCCAAGAGCAGCUGAAAUCUCCGCCCAGCCCAGAAUUACAGGGUCCCCCAUCGACAGAGAAGGAAGCCAUACUGCGGAGGCUGGUGGCCCUGCUGGAGGAGGAGGCAGAAGUCAUUAACCAGAAGGAGGGCAUCCUGGCUGUUUCACCCGUGGACUUGAACUUGCCAUUGGACUGAGCUCUUUCUCAGAAGCUGCUACAAGAUGACACCUCAUGUCCCUGCCCUCUUCGUGUGCUUUUCCAAGUCUUCCUAUUCCACUCAGGGCUGUGGGGUGGUGGUUGCCCUACCUGUUUUUGCCAAAAAUAAAUUGUUUAAAACUUUUCUUAUUAAAAACGUUACAAAGUA